UACGGAGGUUGCAAGCGUUGUUCGGAAUGACUGGGCGUAAAGGGAGCGCAGGCGGCCAAGUCAGUCUGAAGUGAAAGCCCGAGGCUCAACCUCGGAACUGCAGUCGAUACUGCUGUGGCUAGAGUCUGGUAGAGGAGAGUGGAAUUCCCGGUGUAGCGGUGAAAUGCGCAGAUAUCGGGAGGAACACCAGUAGCGAAGGCGGCUCUCUGGGCCAGUACUGACGCUGAGGAGCGAAAGCGUGGGGAGCAAACAGGA
rnacentral:rRNA from 1 species